AUGGCCUUGAGGAGCCAUCCAAGCUAUCGGUCGCUCUGGCCCUUGCGCAGCAUGUUUGAACCGAGGAGACCGACACCGCCAAGUCCAAGGACGAUCCCCAAAGAUUUUGGACGCGCCAAGUUCCUCUUCAGAACCGGUGUGUAUUUCAUCAAGUCCGAGUACGACACAAACGACUACACGAUGACUCCUAAGAACAUGGAAACGUCAAGUUGCAUCCCGAACGUGUACGACUACUUCAACAACACCCCGUGA
rnacentral:rRNA from 1 species